rnacentral:rRNA from 11 species
CUUAGGAAACAAUGGUGUCUUGAAUACACUGUUCUCACCUGAUUUCAGAAGUUGCGCAGGGAUGGUGCAUGAUUAGUGCUUGAAUGGGAGACCUCUAGAGAAUAUCAGGGUUCCUCUAGGU